CUGUUCAAAAAGAUGGAGUGGAAAAAAAGCACGUGUUUGACGUUUCAAGAAAAAGGGCGUCCAAGUCCAGGUUUCUCCUGCAAACGGAUACGACGUCACGUUACCAGCGGCCACACCAUUCUCUACUUCCUCUUUCAAAGAAGAUAGCAAGAAAGUAACUGUGGAAAUCUCGACAAAGUUACUUGACCACAGCGUGAGAUAGCAGCAGAGCAGAGGUAGAAAGAAGCACCACAACCACCGAGGCCGAGUGUCAAGAGACCCGUCCAUCAAGAAUGAAGAGAAGUGAGCUUGCUUUUUCACUGACCUGCUGCAGGGCUGGCUAAUAUAUCCAGGCUUCCAAAUGAUAGGCUGACCUCUCCACCUCGGCCAGGACUGCAGUGCCACUCACAGCAUGAAAGCGAGCUGAAAACUCGUCUCCCCACCAAACACUUCACAUCGCUCUACAAUCUGCCUUCCUCCUCCACUUGCAUCUGAUUUAAAUCUACAAGCUCUACAAGGAAGGGGAAGUCCCACAGGGUGGUUUCCUUCAUCCAAGCAUUGAAGACAAGAGGCUGUCAAAACCUCAUCUGGAAUCCAGUGAAGGCUCUCUGUGGCCUGGUCUUGCUCCCAGCAUGGCAGGGCUGCAGCAGAGAAACCACAGAGGUAUAUUCUGUCUUGGGGGAAAAAGGAUCAAGCUUCUGUGGAACAGACAACACCUCCAGAGGGGAAGUGAAGGGAGAAGAUGAAGAGCGUUGGGAGUGCCAAUUACCUGUGGGCCCCAACCUCCAACCUCAAACCCCAGCCAGCUACUCGUCGCACCCUGCAGCUCCCGUCUCACGCUGCGGAGUAAUAAAGGGAAGUUAAGGGGCAGUAUUGAUCGGCCUAAAAGUAGUCUUUGAUUUUCCACGGAUCUGCGGAAGAAUGGAGGUUGAGAAGAAGAAGAAGAAGAAGAAGAAGAGGAGGAAGAAGAGGAGGAGGAGGAGAAGAGAGCUGAGCUAUUGAUGAGUUUUUCUCUCCCACGGCCCUCCACCAUGCAGCCGUUGGCCGUCUGGACACCCGCCACGUGUGAACAAGCUUUCAGCUCACAUCAUCUUCUCCACUUCCACCUAUAAUUGGCCAUAUGUGUCACCAGCACCCUGCUGCUGCUGCCGCUGCUGCUGCUGUGGGGAAGGAAAAGGAGAUCACAGCUUUGACAAGGAUGAACAGGAAAUCCCCCAAACAGCACCUGAGUGUCCAGCAAGCGUCAGAAGUGGAACCAGGCCGAGACAUUGGGGACGCAGAUUUAAAGGAAUGGCAGAGGAGGGCCCUGGCACUGUGUCUGGCCUCAUGACUUAGUGAGACACACUGGACCUCUGGAGACAGGCCACCAUCUGGUGUCUGUCACUGAAUAAGCUUGACACCAUGAUGAGGCUUCACAAUGUAUGUCUGCCUCUCUUUCUGUCUCUUUGCGUCAAUGACUUGAGCUCACAAAGACUGGCAACUGCCACCCUCCCUCCCUCUUUUGCUCACUCUUAAACCACCCUCCCUGUUCUUGCUCCUCAUCUCUCUCUCUGUAUAUCUCAGUCUGGUCUGAAGAUAGAUGAGAAUCUGCUGUGGGAUUAUGUACUGUGAGCUGCUAAUAAUGUUGAAGAGCCUCCUGGGCUCCCACUCCCGAAGCAGCGGUGCAAUAAAGCCAGGAGCUGGGAAAUACAUGGCUAUUUAAUGGAAACCGAAGCUUCUGAGCUGCUGUGCUAUAUUUACAGGUAGCCUUUCUGCCUCAGCUUUUUGCAUCCUGUGCUUGUCUGCCUUGCCUGCCCGCCCGUCAGCCACCUUGGAGGAGACCUGGCAUCUGCUGUUCCCUGUGACUCCCCUACAGCCUCCCACGCCACUGCCACAAACACACACUGCUCUGCUUGCACAGGCAAUAAAGCGAGAACUAGUGCGGGCGCAGUCAUGAUUGCUGUUAAAAGUGACACUUGGUUAUGCAGCAUAAAACAGGUGACAAAGAAAGAAAGGAAAUUUAACCGUUAUUCACAAAAUAUGAAGAAAAGAGGCAGGAUAGGCAGAAUCUCUUCAUCACAGUUUGUUGUUUGUUGUGCUUAGCGCGUCUGCCCAGUUUCCCAACUAUUCAAAUCUUGCCAUUUAGUUUGUACCAUCUGUCUCACACCGAUGUCAGAAUGAGUAUGACACAACAGGGCCACUGUUUUGUUGUCUUGUUCUAUUUAUUCCUCGAUAAUGAGAAAUCAGCAGAGGGACUGGCAUGGUGCUUGCUACCACACAUAUUCACCCAUGAAACUCUUCCUAGGCCAUAUGGCUUGUCUACAGGGGGGUACUUGACUCUUCUGACUCUGUGGCACCAGAAGCACAGAUCUUGAUCUCUCCUCUUCAGAGGGUUGUCAUAAAUCCUCACUACCAUGCAUCCUGCUUGAAAGAGAAUAACUUUUUUGCAGUGUCUCCACCGGGUAUUCUGUCAUCUCCCUGCGUGUAUUUUUACGGUAAUUGACAGGUGGCUUGAUUGUCAAAAAAGCAGCAGUAGCGACAAAUUUGGAGAGAAAACAUUCUGGACAAGUGACGACAGCCGUUUGGACAUGCUGUGGGAUUUAAGCUGUCAUAAUUGUCCUUCCUCUUUGUGGGACACUUUGUCUAUAUCCAGUAAUCCCAACUUUAGCCUCACGUGUGUUCAGUGUGUCAUGUCUCCCAAAGAGAAGACAGAUCCACGUGACUAAUUACGCACUCUUGGAAUGUUUGAAGGGGCACAGAUUGGGGAUGGCGUGCAUGCAAUGUUUAAUUCUACAUCGCCGCAUGAAGACUUUUAAAUCUAGUCUCGGCCCGGCUCUGCAGCAGCAGGCUCUGGCACAGACAAAACUUACAUGUAAUCUCCAGUGUCGCAAGCAAUAAUGCACGCUCUCUCUCUCUCACAGUGCAGUACCGUAGUUUAAAAGUGUCGAUGCACACUUCAGUAUACUGUAGUUAUUACAUGUUUCGUUUGAUUAAAAAUUCAACAAACAAAUGUCGAUUAGCAGCACAGCGGCAGUAAAAUCUGCCCAGUUCUGUGAUGUAUGUCUCUGAUUGAGUCUUUUUGUUCAGGAUGAAAAUUCAGGCAUGACACCCAAGGGUGACAGAGGUUAGUAAUUGAUAAUGACAUCAUUACACAAACCUUUUGUCAUGCACGCUGCAUCUAUUCCCUGCAUGCUCUUUCUCUGGGCUCCAUCUCUCAUUCUAUUGUCUUGAACAGAGAUGGGACACAAGAGCUUUUUUUUUUUUUUCACCACUGAAUUACAACCGCUGCUCAUCUCCCGUUUCAAUAAAUCCAUCAACUCAUAUCCUCUUUCCCUGAUUUCUCUGUCUUCAUGAUUGCCACGAGACUCUUAACAAUCCCUCCAGGAAUCACUGAUCCUACAGCUGAAUUAAUUAGUAUGUAACUGUAAAAGUUUGCUCUCGCUCUAUGGUCGAUGGAAACUUGAUGAUGAUUUUUAUCCCUAGAACAACAACCUGCUUGUGAUUG